GUAGGUGGCAAGCGUUGUCCGGAAUUAUUGGGCGUAGAGCGCGCGCAGGCGGUUCUUUAAGUCUGAUGUGAAAGCCCACGGCUCAACCGUGGAGGGUCAUUGGAAACUGGAGAACUUGAGUACAGAAGAGGAAAGCGGAAUUCCACGUGUAGCGGUGAAAUGCGUAGAGAUGUGGAGGAACACCAGUGGCGAAGGCGGCUUUCUGGUCUGUAACUGACGCUGAGGCGCGAAAGCGUGGGGGAGCAAACAGGAUUAGAUACCCUGGUAGUCCACGCCGUAAACGAUGAGUGCUGAGUGUUAGGGGGUUUCCGCCCCCCCCUUAGUGCUGCAGCUAACGCAUUAAGCACUCCGCCUGGGAGUACGGCCGCAAGGCUG
rnacentral:rRNA from 1 species